CAGGCUUCAAAGAGAACCAGCAUCUCUAUUCUGUGCAGCACCCAGCCUGCUCUCUUUGCUCCAACAGUAAGAAUACCAAACAAGGAAUGCUGCAAUUGAUCCUAGGCAAUAGAAAGUACUUGAAUAUUAAACAAGAAAUAAAUAGGGAUGCAACAAAACUAGCAAUGAAAAGAAGGUGAAGGAGGUCAUGGGAGAGAAAGAUGCUGUGGAAAGUUGAGAUACCUGUGGAUUCUGCACUACUAAAGUGAGUGGAAGCCAUGUUACGAACUUUAAGAGCAGCUGAGAGCAAUGCUAGAGCUGAUAUUUCCUGCCUUUUCUAACCUUAUGUGACCAAAGAAUUUGUCUUCUGCCCCUUCUGGAAUACUUCUCUUGAGAAGCACCAAGGGAACAUUGAAACUGCAGAUAGUUUUGAACAGUUGCUCUUUGCAGGACAGUUAAUACUGAAACAAAAAUCAAGCACAAGGAUGUCUUUUGGAGGGCUGCUGCCUAGCAGCUGUGCCCAGUUCACUGACCUCGGUGGGAGUUCCUGAGUCCUCUAUGAAUUCAGGUUUGUCAUCCAAAU
rnacentral:lncRNA from 1 species